CCCCGCGUCAUCUGGGGAGUAGCCAGCCGUUCCGCGUCAGGAACGGGCCGUUCGUCAACAUAUUUGGCCGAGAGGCCAUGGCGGGCGGGAUGCGGGGGAAACUUCGCAUC
rnacentral:sRNA from 2 species